rnacentral:rRNA from 1 species
UACGGAGGGUCCGAGCGUUAUCCGGAUUUAUUGGGUUUAAAGGGUGCGUAGGCGGCCUAUUAAGUCAGGGGUGAAAUACGGUGGCUCAACCAUCGCAGUGCCUUUGAUACUGAUGGGCUUGAAUCCAUUUGAAGUGGGCGGAAUAAGACAAGUAGCGGUGAAAUGCAUAGAUAUGUCUUAGAACUCCGAUUGCGAAGGCAGCUCACUAAGCUGGUAUUGACGCUGAUGCACGAAAGCGUGGGGAUCGAACAGG